rnacentral:rRNA from 1 species
UACGUAGGCAGCAAGCGUUGUUCGGAAUUACUGGGCGUAAAGAGUGUGUAGGCGGUGCUCUAAGUCUGUUGUGAAAUCUCCCGGCUUAACUGGGAGGGUGCGGCGGAGACUGGAGUGCUAGAGUGUGGGAGAGGUAAGCGGAAUUCCUGGUGUAGCGGUGAAAUGCGUAGAUAUCAUCAGGAACACCGGAGGCGAAGGCGGCCCACUGGGUCUUUUCUGACGCUGAGGGACGAAAGCUAGGGGAGCGAACGGG